AUGUCCCGACCCCACAGGCACAUCACACUCCACCCCACCCCGUACACCUGUGACGGGCGGGAGGCACUUCCUCUCCUCCCCCACCCAUCCAAACCGCACCCCCCACACACACACACACCCCGCCGGGCCAGGCCAGGCCAGGCCAGCAAGGUUGCCACGUCUGGGGGCACAGGAACACGCCCUACCACAGGGUGGAGAGAAAGCUCAACGGGAGCCCCUGCGCCUCCUCUAAGCCAGUUCUGCAGUGGACAGGCCCUUGCCUGGGCCCCAGGCUUCUGGCCACCCCGACACCAGGUUCCCCAAAUCUGGCAACUAGGGCUCUCCUGGGCCUGAGCAGCCAGCUCUGCCUGUGGGGGAGCUCAGGGGAGAGGCUGGGCUCCAGGGAGUCAAGUGCAGGGCUGAGUCUCAAGGCCACAGGGUCCAUGAGACAGCACUGGACCCCACGCCGGGUUGGGGCGAGUCCCAGAACCUUAGGUCACGUGUGCGAGUCAGACUCAGUGCCCGGCUCGGGACCCCAGAGCUGAGCAGGUGAUGUUGGGCUGGGCCUUUGCUGUGCAAUCUACAGCCUGGUGGGGUCUCAGGAUGUGGCUGACUUGGAAGCAGUGAACUGGUGUCUCAAAGUCAGACCCGGGCCCCAGGGGGCUGGCCGGGCACCCCCGAGACGCUUGCCCAGCUAGGUAGGAAAGGAGGGGCCGGGAGCCGGGGGUGGGUUUGGACUGCCAGACUGAAGCAUGAGCCCCACACACCUCCCUCUCAUUGCAGCCGUUACCUCAAAACAGCGAA
rnacentral:lncRNA from 1 species